rnacentral:rRNA from 1 species
GACGAACGCUGGCGGCGUGCUUAACACAUGCAAGUCGAACGGAAAGGCCCAGCUUGCUGGGUGCUCGAGUGGCGAACGGGUGAGUAACACGUGGGUGAUCUGCCCCUAACUUCGGGAUAAGCUUGGGAAACUGGGUCUAAUACCGGAUAGGACAAUCGUUUAGUGUCGGUUGUGGAAAGUUUUUUCGGUUAGGGAUGAGCCCGCGGCCUAUCAGCUUGUUGGUGGGGUAAUGGCCUACCAAGGCGUCGACGGGUAGCCGGCCUGAGAGGGUGGACGGCCACAUUGGGACUGAGAUACGGCCCAGACUCCUACGGGGGGCAGCAGUGGGGAAUAUUGCACAAUGGGCGCAAGCCUGAUGCAGCGACGCCGCGUGGGGGAUGACGGCCUUCGGGUUGUAAACCUCUUUCGACAGGGACGAAGCUUUGGUGACGGUACCUGUAUAAGAAGCACCGGCUAACUACGUG